AAAGGAAGUUGACGGGGCCCGGCACAAGCGGUGGAGGUAUGUGGUUUAAUUCGAAGCAACGCGCAGAACCUUACCAGCCCUUGACAUACCGGUCGCGGACACAGAGAUGUGUCUUUCAGUUCGGCUGGACCGGAUACAGGUGCUGCAUGGCUGUCGUCAGCUCGUGUCGUGAGAUGUUGGGUUAAGUCCCGCAACGAGCGCAACCCUCGCCCUUAGUUGCCAGCAUUUAGUUGGGCACUCUAAGGGGACUGCCGGUGAUAAGCCGAGAGGAAGGUGGGGAUGACGUCAAGUCCUCAUGGCCCUUACGGGCUGGGCUACACACGUGCUACAAUGGUGGUGACAGUGGGCAGCGAGCACGCGAGUGUGAGCUAAUCUCCAAAAGCCAUCUCAGUUCGGAUUGCACUCUGCAACUCGAGUGCAUGAAGUUGGAAUCGCUAGUAAUCGCGGAUCAGCAUGCCGCGGUGAAUACGCUCCCGGGCCUU
rnacentral:rRNA from 1 species